UCUCCGUAGGUGAACCUGCGGAGGGAUCAUUACCGAGUGAGGGCGCCCCGGCGCCCGACCUCCCAACCCUUUUGUGAACCACCUCGUUGCUUCGGGGGCGACCCUGCCGUUCGCGGCGUGGGGCCCCCGGAGCCCAUCAAACCCUGCGUAACUAAGUCGUCGGAGUUUAAACAAAUUAAACAAAACUUUCAACAACGGAUCUCUUGGUUCGGGCAUCGAUGAAGAACGCAGC
rnacentral:misc_RNA from 1 species